rnacentral:ribozyme from 1 species
AGCAAUACCGUACUGAUAUGGGUAUGGAUUCGAAGCAUCUAGAAGGAUAAUAUAGACACUCCAUACCCUACUCCGACUCACUACGUCCCCGUCGUACAGCAUGGUAACAUACCUCUCUAAAUAUCUGAGCUUGGGUAUACGGAGAAACCCAACCCCUUGGGAAGAUGGGUUAUUCGGCUAAAUUAAGCGGA